ensembl:lncRNA
GGCGGCCAUGCAAAAAUUCAGCUGAAUCCUGAGGCAGAAAUAACCUGACUGUGGGAAGGUGGUGGGCCAGGACAAGACACAGGUGCAAUGAAGCCUUCGCAGAGCUGAACGAAAGCCUCCAGCCAGCUGGGCAAAUGGGGUUAGGUCAAGCUUGGUGGUGCAGAGAUCAGUCCUGUGUUUUUGUGAUGAACUGUUAAAAAAAAACCUGCAAUGGGAGUUUGGUCACAGAGGCACUCUUGGGCCGUGUGAAACGCUUGGUAUUCGCCCAACCUCUACCAGAGCAGCCAAGCUAGAGCAGUGCUUACGCUAGUGCUGACCCAGCUAAUCAGCCUGAAAUGAAGAGUGGCUACAGGAGAGCACAGACGCAUCGAAAACCUGGGGAAGUCCAGCUGGUAAAACCGGGGCGUUGGAGCAGAAAGUCAGGUGCAGUGGCAGGGGGGGGAGCCCCCACCGGCGGUGCCUGCCUGACAAGCACCAGGAGCAGCGCCUUACCCAGGCAGUUUGGAAAGUCCCUCUAAGGAUGUGUUUCAAGGGAAGCAAGCCAUUUGUAGGCAUCUGGUUUGGCAUGGGAAGUUGUCCCGCCUCCUGAGGCAGAAAAAAUAAAGGAGGCUCUGCUCAGAGACAGCUUCCAGAUCUGAAACCUGCCUGGAGACCCAGGGCCUUCAGAGACGCCUGCCGAGGGGUCAGUCAGGACUUGCGGGGGGCACGCAGGAGCCGUCCCCACCUCUUUGCCAGAUGCUUUUGAGGAGCAGUGACCAGGAGCAAGCGAAAAAACUUUCUGUUGAAGUCACCCCUGCUGAAGUCACUCGGAAGAAGCUGUGGCCGGGAUGAGAAUGUCUUAGAUGAUACCAGUGGGUUCAGUUUGGUCUCUCACAAGAGCCCUGAAAGCUGUAUAUUGGCAGGUGGAAGCGGAGCUGAAAUGCCUCCUCGGCAAAGCGACUUACAGCAAUGGCCGUGGGGCUCACGUAAUGCGCCAGCUACGUUGCAGGGCAGGUUUAUCUGAGCCUUGUUGUUUCGAGCAGCAUCUGGACAGAGGUGACAGCUGGGAUGGCAGGAGGUGCGAGGGGGCCAAUGUGCCCGAAACCCAGGGUGCGCAUAGCCCCUGCAUCUCACUCCAGGUAGGACAGCCACCCUGCCCUCCCUGAGAAGCAGCAAGCGCUUCCACCGCAGACCCGUGGCUGCAGGCAGGUACGUGCAGAGAAGCUGGGAGAAAGCAGCCCAGGGGACGUGGCCAGCUGCGGAUGCUACUCGGAGCAGGCGGGAUCUGAGCAAAGGCCUAGGCUCCCAUUGCACACAUCUUCCUGGGUUCAGGGGAAGAAAACUCACUGAGUUUUUAUGAACAGGACUCUGGUGAGAGAGCCUCUACCUUCGUAACCAUUUUCUUUUUUCUGAACGGGAUAAUAUUCAAGAACUCAAGUUUUUGGUUAACCUUUUGGGGCAGAAGACAUAAUAGUGCUGUCUCUAUGCCCCUGUUUCACUGUCGACCUUCUGCCUAAAAUUGCCACCAGGCCAUCCUGCCUGUCUCCUUGUUGCAUUACGAGGGUGUAUAAGGGCACGCAGACCCCAAGCGGCGCUGGAGCGCUGAGCUUUUUAGCUGGAAGGACAGACCGACGAAUCAGGUUGUCUGCUGAUGCCUGUCUGCAUCUGCUGUCCCCCCAGAUCUGCCUCGGGUAUGCAAGCGAGGGAAAGCUCGCUGCCUCCUAACAGAAACAGACACCACUGAAUAGGUAACGUGAGCUAUUCCCUGCUGAUGCAGGAUAGGUACCAGCUGCAGCCAAGCCCCAGGUCGCACGCAGGCAGCACACAGCUUGGCGCAGGCACCGAAGGAAAAGCACAGGCACAUUUUAUGGUCGCUAAGGGCCCGCUGGCACAGGCCCAUCCUAAUUUGUCCGUGAGUAUCUGGGAUACCUCUGGACCCUGAAUCACCCGGGCAAUACCCCCUCGACCGCUGUGCCCAGUUCCCUGCUCUGUCCGGCGCGCCUCCGGAGGCACGCGGUGCCGCAGGGACUCCCCCGCCCCGCAGCAUGCAGGGCUCCGGAGCCUCUGCAAAUGCAGCUUGGCAGGGAGCACACGCCUGCAGCGUUAUUCAUCUCCCCUUUGCUUCACCAGG